rnacentral:rRNA from 1 species
CCCUAGUGACCGAUAGUGAACCAGUACCGUGAGGGAAAGGUGAAAAGCACCCCGGGAGGGGAGUGAAAUAGAACCUGAAACCGUGCGCCUACAACAAGUUCGAGCCCGUUAAUGGGUGAGAGCGUGCCUUUUGUAGAAUGAACCGGCGAGUUACGUUAUGAUGCGAGGUUAAGUUGAAGAGACGGAGCCGUAGGGAAACCGAGUCUGAAUAGGGCGCCUUAGUAUCAUGACGUAGACCCGAAACCAUGUGACCUACCCAUGAGCAGGUUGAAGGUGCGGUAAGACGCACUGGAGGACCGAACCAGGGCACGUUGAAAAGUGCUUGGAUGACUUGUGGGUAGCGGAGAAAUUCCAAACGAACUUGGAGAUAGCUGGUUCUCUCCGAAAUAGCUUUAGGGCUAGCGUCGACAUUAGAGAUUCUUGGAGGUAGAGCACUGUUUGGGUGAGGGGUCCAUCCCGGAUUACCAAUCUCAGAUAAACUCCGAAUGCCAAUGAAUUAUGGUCGGCAGUCAGAACUGCGAGUGCUAAGAUCCGUAGUCGAAAGGGAAACAGCCCCAGACCACCAGCUAAGGUCCCAAAAUAAUUGUUAAGUGGAAAAGGAUGUGGGGUUGCACAGACAACUAGGAUGUUAGCUUAGAAGCAGCUAUUCAUUCAAAGAGUGCGUAAUAGCUCACUAGUCGAGUCGACCCUGCGCCGUAAAAUGUACCGGGGCUAAAACAAUUUACCGAAGCUGUGGAUACCUUUAUAGGUAUGGUAGGAGAGCGUUCUAUGUGUGAUGAAGGUAUACCGUGAGGAGUGCUGGAACGCAUAGAAGUGAGAAUGCCGGUAUGAGUAGCGAAAGACAGGUGAGAAUCCUGUCCACCGUAAGACUAAGGUUUCCAGGGGAAGGCUCGUCCGCCCUGGGUUAGUCGGGACCUAAGGAGAGACCGAAAGGUGUAUCCGAUGGACAACAGGUUGAUAUUCCUGUACUAGAGUAUGUAGUGAUGGAGGGACGCAGUAGGCUAACUAAAGCAGACGAUUGGAAGAGUCUGUCUAAGCAGUGAGGUGUGAAUUGAGUCAAAUGCUUAAUUCUAUAACAUUGAGCUGUGAUGGGGAGCGAAGUUUAGUAGCGAAGUUAGUGACGUCACACUGCCAAGAAAAGCUUCUAGCGUUUAAACAUACUCUACCCGUACCGCAAACCGACACAGGUAGUCGAGGCGAGUAGCCUCAGGUGAGCGAGAGAACUCUCGUUAAGGAACUCGGCAAAAUGACCCCGUAACUUCGGGAGAAGGGGUGCUGACUUAAAGUCAGCCGCAGUGAAUAGGCCCAAGCAACUGUUUAUCAAAAACACAGCUCUCUGCUAAAUCGUAAGAUGAUGUAUAGGGGGUGACGCCUGCCCGGUGCUGGAAGGUUAAGAGGAGUGCUUAGCGUAAGCGAAGGUAUGAAUUGAAGCCCCAGUAAACGGCGGCCGUAACUAUAACGGUCCUAAGGUAGCGAAAUUCCUUGUCGGGUAAGUUCCGACCCGCACGAAAGGCGUAAUGAUUUGGGCACUGUCUCAACGAGAGACUCGGUGAAAUUUUAGUACCUGUGAAGAUGCAGGUUACCCGCGACAGGACGGAAAGACCCCAUGGAGCUUUACUGCAGUUUGAUAUUGAGUGUCUGUACCACAUGUACAGGAUAGGUAGGAGUCUAAGAGAUCGGGACGCCAGUUUCGAAGGAGACGCUGUUGGGAUACUACCCUUGUGUUAUGGCCACUCUAACCCAGAUAGGUGAUCCCUAUCGGAGACAGUGUCUGACGGGCAGUUUGACUGGGGCGGUCGCCUCCUUAAAGGUAACGGAGGCGCCCAAAGGUUCCCUCAGAAUGGUUGGAAAUCAUUCGCAGAGUGUAAAGGUAUAAGGGAGCUUGACUGCGAGAGCUACAACUCGAGCAGGGACGAAAGUCGGGCUUAGUGAUCCGGUGGUUCCGUAUGGAAGGGCCAUCGCUCAACGGAUAAAAGCUACCCUGGGGAUAACAGGCUUAUCUCCCCCAAGAGUUCACAUCGACGGGGAGGUUUGGCACCUCGAUGUCGGCUCGUCGCAUCCUGGGGCUGUAGUCGGUCCCAAGGGUUGGGCUGUUCGCCCAUUAAAGCGGCACGCGAGCUGGGUUCAGAACGUCGUGAGACAGUUCGGUCCCUAUCCGUCGCGGGCGUAGGAAAUUUGAGAGGAUCUGCUCCUAGUACGAGAGGACCAGAGUGGACUUACCGCUGGUGUACCAGUUGUCUUGCCAAAGGCAUCGCUGGGUAGCUAUGUAGGGAAGGGAUAAACGCUGAAAGCAUCUAAGUGUGAAACCCACCUCAAGAUGAGAUUUCCCAUGAUUAUAUAUCAGUAAGAGCCCUGAGAGAUGAUCAGGUAGAUAGGUUAGAAGUGGAAGUGUGGCGACACAUGUAGCGGACUAAUACUAAUAGCUCGAGGACUUAUCCAA